UCUCCCCGGCCCGGGCGCCCAGGAUGUCUCCGCAGAGGCCCUCAGGGGACCCUGUCGCGGCCCCCCGGCUGGGCCUGUGGGAUGGCGCACACCGGGAGGACCCCGCGACGGCGGCCCCGGUGAGGAGGGUCCUACCCCCAGGCCACAGGCCCCCAUUUCCGAGACAAAGCAGCUUCAAGCCCUAGAUCCCUGACUAUGGACUCUCCCCUCAAACGUAAACGCGGACUCCCCGCUGGUUGUCGAUGUUAGAAAAGAAAAACACGUCUCUCAGAUUCCCACCUGCUCGGCGCACAGCGUCCUUCCCUGGCACAAAUGCUUCCUCUGGAUCUGGCCAAACCCACUGGGCCAUUUACGUGUCUGGGGUCUUAAAAGGCUUCUCACGAGGUGAGAAAGACGCCCCUCAUCAUGUCCCACUGACCCAGCGCCGUCCCCCUGCGGCCCCCGGACCGCUGGCGUCGGCCCUCCCCCCACUUCCCUCCACCGGCUCUGAUCAGCGACCUCCUGGGGGCCCAGCCCGUCGUCCUCCACACACUCAACUUCUCCUUCUAGAAACACUCCUUCCGUGGCUGCUCUGCCUCCAGCUCCAGCCGUGUCUAACAGAACCCUGGUUUCGAGAGCUUGGGUCUACACUGGCAGCGAGCGUAAACGGUUACAGGCCUCACCGCUUCUUUCUGACAUGACCGCUGUGUUAGUAUCAGAGGAAACUGAGGUGACGUAAAGCAAAAUAUUUUAAAACGUACCUGAUUUCUUUCUACACGCCAUUCUCUAAAAACGCCUAAGCAACUAAAGCCAUCGACAUCUUUAAAACGUGCCUUUUCAACCACACUGCAACUUAAGAAUUCCUCGUUCAUAUUAAAGUCACCACCGGCUUUUGCAGGCUGACGUCCUGGGUUCAUUUAAAUGACGAUGCGGGACACGGAACCACCUGUGUGAGAUCCUGCCUCCUAAAUGCCGUCUGCGUGGAAAAUACCGGUUAGUCCAGUGCGCCACCGCAGGCAGGCCUUAGCUGAGAGCAGGUGGGCCACCUCCUUGGGCGGCUGGGCCUGGGCCUGGGGACAGGGGGCGGGACCAGGCCGGUGGGCGCCCCGGAAGGCAGCUUCGGGCCCGCCGCCUGCCUGGGGUCCUUGGUCUCCUGGUCCCACGUGCCUCGACGCUCUGCUCUGCAGCUUUGCAAACUCGAGCGUAAAAACGGUUCGGAGAUCUUAGGUCUUAGUGAAGACAGCAGGGCCCGUUGUGAAAGGGCAAAAAUAAUUGCUACUGAGAACUGCUUCUCAGAAUGUCUGGAGCACAGCACUCGGGCCAAACACCAAACGCAGAACGUAACGACCUCUGCAGAGAAUAACCGAAUGCAAACAUUGAUCCGAACAGGUUUCUUAUUUUCAGGGUUCGCCAGGUCAUCACUCAUUUACUCAUCUCUGCAGACAGACGGAUAGGAUUUUAUUAGUUAUAACAUUUUCGACAGGAGGGGAGGCGGGUGGGGGGAGGGGCUAGAUGGGUGACGGGCGUUAAGGAGGCACCUGUUGGCAUGAGCACCGGGUUUCGUGUGGAAGUGACGAACCACUGGGUUCUCUUCCUGAAGCCAAGACUGCGGAGUAUGUUAACUAACUUGGAUUUAAAUAAAACCUCGGAAGAAAAUAAAUGUUAAUUUUUGAGCUAGAAUAAACCUUAUAAACCAAUCUCUUCCUUUUACCAACAAAGCCCUUGAACCCUCAAGGCGUCAAGGACCGGGCCAAGGUCUCACCUGGUUAACAAUUCAUGUCCGCCUCUCACCUCUGACCUAGUGGAGCUGGAGAGAGCACACAGGGGCUCCAUUUGCCAUCAAAUUGCUCAGAACGUUUCCCAAAACAACAGACUUCAGAGCCGGCUCGUCUAGUCACCCGGGUGCAAGGCUUGCCAUUUCAGAUGCCCUUUUUAAAAAUACUGGAGUCUGCUGACCUUAGCCUCUAAGCAUAAACAGUGUGGGGGGAGUUCCAACACACUGGCCUAUGAAGAAGAAACCUCGCUGCACAGGCUUUAACGUGGCACUUCGACGUGUCCGGGAGCGGCCGUGGGUCAUUCCACAACACGCGCUAUGAUAGGCAGUAUGUCACCGACGAAGCAUUUUCCCAUUACUGUCAAAAUAAUUACAUUUAUGAUAAACCACAACAAAAAACAAACAAAAGCUUUCCGAUUCUUUCCCGGAAUGCCAACAACUAAUGGAAGUGAGCAGCUGAAGAAGAUUCCAGAAAAUGCAAAUGGACCUGAGUGCUCCAGUGCAAUCCUCCUUUUCCAACAACGUGCAGGGGUCACUACAAGCCCCGCGUCAGCAGCGAAACCCGUCAACAAUUUGAGUGUUUUCCUUAAAAUGGAAAAACAGCUCACGGUGCCACCAGCUUUACAAAAUAACACAUCCACGAAGCAUGUUUCUAUUUUUAAUUUUUUUGCUUUGAUAAAUCAGUUGCUUCACAAAAAUCCCCUUUCGAGACAACAAUCCAAGAAAACAUAUUGUUACAGUAUUCACAUUUUAAAGAUUGUCAGUUCGUAGACCGAACACAACUAAAACAAAGGCAGAUUGCUGGGUCACUUCCGUCCCUAACCGCCAGAGGUGGGCCUUGCCCACCGUCCAGGUAGGGUUGAGUUUGUCUAAAAGGCAAGGGCCCCGAGCCGGCUCACACAGGUGAGGGCCGCACAGAAAAGGCCGCCGCGACCCGCAGGUGCGCUCUGGUACCGCCUGCCGCCCCACCGUGCGUCCCGGACAGAGACCGAAACGGACGUCACUACCUGCAGCCAGAAAACGGCAAGCCGGGUCCGGCGGCGGCGGCUCGUCUGGGGACGGCGAAGCCGCGGGACAGGUAACAACACUCUUACUCUGGGUCUGGGGACACAUCCGGAGCGUCCUUCUGGCGCAAAGUCAGGAUCGAAUCUGCUCCGUGAAAAUGAACGCUCGAGGGAGUCCCAUUUUCAAAGGUUCUCUUGAAGGUCCGAGGGCUGGAAGAUGGGGGUUUAUAAAAUGCAAACCGACGACAGGCACGCCGGGCAGCGGUUUUAUGAACCGAAACGGCUUGCCACGCCAAGGUUGUCUCCGAGCACCUCGGUUAUUCGCGGGGAGAGUGGGGGGGGAAGCUGAGGCCUGUCCACGAGCGCCCUGUCUCUGGACGGCUUAUCCUAGUCCUCCGAACCUGGUAAGAACUUCGAGCCUAAGGAAACCGGCUUCAGCCGCAGGGAGCGCGGUGCGUCACCAGGCACGGAAGGCCGAUCUCAGGCCAGCGAGGGCAGCGGGACCCCGCACGGCCCCCGUCUGUCUCCAAACGGGCAGUCUGUGUAGCCCGCGACUAACAGGCUACCGCAGCUCAGUGAACGUGACCCCUGGGGCGGGGGGGGGUUGGGGGGGGGCAGUGACCUGCCUGUGAGUCCACACGCACCCAAAGAGCAGGGCGACUAGAGGGACUGGGGAGGGAGGGAGGUGGCUGGCUGGUGUCCACAGCUCCUAGUUUCAAGAAGUCCAACCAAGUUAGGAUUUAGGUCAAGUUAAAAUGAUCUACGAAACUGAAAAUAUUACAAAUUGUUUCUAAAUAAGGAACGCAACUGUUGCUUAAAAAUGUUGUUCUCGCUCCAAAAGAGUUUAGUCCACUUUUUCUUUUAAAGCUCCUGAAGUAUUUUUCAAAGAAAAUUCUAUGUAUUUCUUACCACCUCCUAAGUUACCUAGGAAAUAAGUCUUCUGUGAUUAACUGUAAUUAACCAAUUUUGCGGGAGUGGGGGGGGGAAUCAGUUCCAGAAAAAAUCUGCCCCAGCUCCAGAUAUCCUGCAAUGUAACCUUGGUCCGUAACUGAUGACGGCUGCUGAAUCUCCAGAACUGGCGACCUUCCCAAACACCAAACCACCUUUUAGAAACACGAACACUGGGCGUCCCCUUUAAGACGACACAAAGGCUUGAUGAGACAAGGUGGCUUGUUUUCCGAGCAAAAGCCCCACUUGCAAAUAAAUGAAAACAAAGGCAACAAAA